rnacentral:rRNA from 1 species
UGGGGAAUUUUGGACAAUGGGCGCAAGCCUGAUCCAGCCAUUCCGCGUGCAGGAUGAAGGCCCUCGGGUUGUAAACUGCUUUUGUACGGAACGAAAAGGCCUGGGCUAAUACCNNGGGGUCAUGACGGUACCGUAAGAAUAAGCACCGGCUAACUACGUGCCAGCAGCCGCGGUAAUACGUAGGGUGCAAGCGUUAAUCGGAAUUACUGGGCGUAAAGCGUGCGCAGGCGGUGAUGUAAGACAGGUGUGAAAUCCCCGGGCUUAACCUGGGAACUGCAUUUGUGACUGCAUCGCUGGAGUGCGGCAGAGGGGGAUGGAAUUCCGCGUGUAGCAGUGAAAUGCGUAGAUAUGCGGAGGAACACCGAUGGCGAAGGCAAUCCCCUGGGCCUGCACUGACGCUCAUGCACGAAAGCGUGGGGAGCAAACAGGAUUAGAUACCCUGGUAGUCCACGCCCUAAACGAUGUCAACUGGUUGUUGGGUCUUCACUGACUCAGUAACGAAGCUAACGCGUGAAGUUGACCGCCUGGGGAGUACGGCCGCAAGGUUG